UUGUUUUCAUAUUGAGAUUUAAAGAAGCUUAGGAUCACAUUGUUAUGGCUAUUUCACACACAACACUCCAAGGAUAUUUGAGAAAUUAUUGCUAAUACUAGAAUAUUGUGGAUUCGCUUGCUUUAUGCUUAUUAAGGUUCUUGAUUAUUAUGUACACUUGAAUAAAAUGCUUUGAGGGUUAUGUAGGGGAAACUGAUUUUUUCCAUGUGACUUUUUGUUUUUGGUUUGGUGCUAGAGCAUGUUUUCUGUUGCUUGAAUUGCUAGAGACUGGCAAUAAGCUAGUUGGGGGUGUGAUAAUUGCUCAAAAGUGCAUGUCUAAUGCGCUUUGAUUAUACCCGUUACAUGUUUUUCUCUAGUAAUUUAUCAAAUUUGUGCUUUAUCAUCUAUAACUGGUCAAAUAGGUUUUAUAUCUAAUUUGUUUUAAUUUUUGACUGAUGUUAUAUUAAUGUUCAUGUGCAAGACUAAGAGAAUGUUGCAAGGAAAUUAAAGGGUGAGGCACAAGACAAUAAAUUGGUGAUUAACUCUAUGUCGGUUACCGAAAAGAAAUGAAGAAAGGAGAAGGCAAAGAAGAAGAAAAAGAAACGGCCAGCCAUUACCAUUUCAAUAUGGCAUUAAGGCUUAUCAAUGACCAUUAUUCAGAGGGUUAUGAGGAUUGGCAUUAACAUAUUAAUAAUGGGUUGAUGAAUGACCAUUAUUCAAGAAGAAUAUGAAGGGAGGUUGGAUGCAGCAGCAGCUUAUAUAAUCUCUAUUUGAUUGUUUUCAAAAGGCCCCGGCCUUUUCAUAAUUUUAGAUUUUUCUUUUUCUAUUUAGUUUAUGGAGAACUAAUCUCCCUAGCUAAGGCUAGGGGGAACCUAUAGUACGAGUAUGUAGUUUUAUUAUUUCGAUUCUAUUUCGGAGUUUUAAUGUCAAUUUUACAUUGUGGAUUUUCAACGGAAUUUCUUAUUUAUUCUAUUUUCGGAUUGAUGAAUGUUGGUUAUGAUUCAUAGGUUUAAUCAUGUUUUUCCUAUAGUUUUGUUUCACAUUCAUGCUUUUAGUGAAUUGAAUAAAUUAGUAGAUUGGUACGAUUUCAACGGAGUAAUUUCCUAAUAUUUUGUUGCCGUAGGUACAAAUUAUAUUUGGGAUUAUUUCUAUAAGAAAUUGAAUGGGCAUUUUGUUUUGAAUAUCUACAAUAAAAAUCACUUUUCAAGAAGUUUUAUAUGAGGAAAACUUAAUUGCUAUAUUUUUCGGUUGAGAUUACUUGUUGGUAUCUCAGUUGAGUUAUAAAAAGGAAUCGAAAUAGUGAAAUUGCAUAGUUGUAUGUGGGUGGAACCCUGAUGCUUUAGUAUUUAUAAUUGUUGAACUUUUUCUUCUAUAAGUUACAUCUCAUUCGAUAUUGUUCUUUGUUUCAGUCUUGAUAAUUCUGCAUUCUUUUUCAACACUCCUUGAGGAAUACAACACUCGGACUUCGAGUUUAUACUACUACGCGACACCUGCACUUGGGUUUAGCAAGCAAUGAGUAUAAAUUUACAAAAUUUGAUCCAAUUUUUCUAAUUUUUACAAAUUUCUGUUUGGUUGUUAAAUUUUAUUUUACCUCAUGUUCGAACUAUAAUUACUAGUUAGUAGUUAUGUAAGUUCCAAAGUCUAACCGUCAACAAAGAGUAAUGUUGGGUAAAUCAAAUUUGCAAAUCAUAUAACGUGUCACCAAUAAAAAAUAAUAAUGUUAGUCAAUACUUGUAAUAAUCCAAUCAUCCACCACAUUAUAUUGUUUACAAAAUUUGGUCUCCCUAGCAUUAGCCUUCAAUGAAUUAAUGUGUAUAUGUCAUUGCCAAUACUAUGUUUAAUUUUGUCCUCAUUCAUUGUUUAUACAUAUAUAUUAAGACUCGAAAGUAUGAUUAUGUUUUUAGUCCUAUAUUGACAUGGUAAUGAAAUAAGAAAAAUGUCACAUCCCGG
rnacentral:lncRNA from 1 species